AAACGUAAUAACAGUCAGUACGAGAGUUUGCUAAACAUGUCUAUAGUGACCACAGGGUGUUUCGUGACAUAGCAACUUAAACGUGCACAAACCGUGACGAUGUCGGUAUUGGUAUCAGCACCGUGUGAGAGCAGGAAAGAGAGAGCUUACAUUUGUAUAUGUGUGUGUACAUACAAAUACAGAGAUAAUGACUGAGACUGCCAUGCUUUGCGCUGUAUAUAACGAAAUCGACAAAACUGAACAUCAGAAACAGCCCAGAAACCAAACAGACGAGUAGCAGGCUAUAGCGCUGCCACGGUUACACUUUGCGGAGACGGCGCACACACAUUUAAGCAUACAUACAGUGUUUUGUGGUGGUGGAAGUAGUACUAGUGUUGUGUGCCAUGACUCUGACAAACGGAAAUGAGAAGCACACAAAGACGAUGGCAAAUAUACAUAGAAAGCAAACCAAACAAAUAGAAAUAACUACUGCAACGGUUGAGAAGGUAAAAAAUGCAGUAAAAACACAAACAACAAACCGCUGCAUGACAAGGGCGGAAAAUUGGCAAAACCGCUUUUAACAACUAAACCGUGAUGAAAGAUUGAUUCAAGAAAGUAAUUAAACAAAAUUACAGAGGCAGAAGCAACAAAAAAGUCUGUAUACGUGCAAAAUCUUGAACUGAUGGGUGAAAAUUGAAACCUUGCAGUUAUCGAUUUCUUGCAGUCAUUGCGCAAUGCACCAGAGGAACAGAGAGAAAGAGAGUGCAAGAGAGCAAAACAUUGAGAGAAAAGGCACCUGCCAGUAAAAUGUUUAUGUCGCUGCCAUGUUUAGUUAGUGCAGGUAAAGUAGGGCUGUAAGUGAUUUUCUGUUGUGAUUUUAUGACAGCAGCGUUAACAAUGAUACUCUUCAAAAGUUUAAAGUUCACGAGCGCGGCUAAGACAUCUUGCAACUGCAGCGCAUGUCCGGCCGCAUCUGCGUCAGAUGCACAUAUUGAAAAAGUGCCAGGAGCAUCGCCCAUGCCACCCACACGCCGUGAUAUCGCGAAACCUUGGACUGACCCCUUAAUCAAAGCAAGUGCAAAAGGGACGGUCUGAUGUGCGGUGGAAGAGCUUGAAAUAAACGCAAUGCUGCAAUGUUUCCAUUCGGCGUUGCCUAGCCCAGAAGCUUUACCUUUCAACCGAAAAUGCAGCUAUAUGUGAACCAAAACUGUCCUAUUCCUGGAAAUAUUGGUGUUCUUGCAUGCAGCCAUGCGAGAAUAUGUCAGGUGGUUGUAUAAUUUUUGUGAUACGCCCACGACGUUUGACAGAAUACGACGUUCAUCGUGAAUUGCGCAAUAAUUAACAAGCAAUAAUAAAUUAUAUCCCACCGUUAUGAAUACGUAUCACAUUGUUAAGAAAUUGCUUACAUAAGACAGCAGAUGCAGGGGUCAUAAUAAUAAUACCAACCGACAACAUUUACAAACAUCAACCAAUCAUACACUGCACAAUAUUUGUAAACACAAAGAAAAACAACACCAAUCGCAACAAAAUAAUUGUACAAUAACGCUGAUUCUGUUCAUUUUUAGCCAUCGUUUAUAUAACCAGUUUCGUCGACCACAUAAAUAUGUAUGAAAAUAUGAGUAUAAAUGUAUUUGUCGAGAAUUUUACAAAUCAUCAGCAAUAAUAUACUUGUAGAUAUAAACAAGCUAUAUUUUCCAGAAGCUUGUAUGUGAUAUAAAAUGAUGUUAUAAAAUCGACCAAAAACGAGAGCAAAAUUAUUAUUCAACCAUUUUUGACGAACAAGACAUGAAUAAUGUUUGUUAUGAUUUUAUGAACAAGUUUUUCAAAGUUGUGUAUAAAUAAAUGUGAGCAUAAAUGGGCACGAAUUAAAUUUAACAUAAAAUAAUAAUAAUUUAUAAAAGACAUGUAUUUUUUUUAGUUAAUUGAUUAGUUGAUUUUAGGGAAAACAGGCUAUUAUUUACAUACAAAAUAAAAACAUUAUAUGAAUUGG